rnacentral:lncRNA from 1 species
AAUUAUUAGUCCAGAGGUUUCUCUCUGGGUUUUUCUGAAGUUUUUUGUGUAAAUUUAGCUUCCCCUAUUUCUUCUGAGCGGGGGAAGCUUUGGCAGCUUUGCUUUUCCCUCGCCGAGAGUUGUAGAUAGUUUUUUUUUUUACUUAGAUUUUUUAGUAGAUUUAUGCUUUAUUGCGAGAGCUUUCCUUCAAUUUAUGUUGUUUGUAUUGUCUAGUAGGUGUUUUUUCCUCUUGCAUGUUGGGUUUCUUUUAUUUCUUGUUUUUCUGUGCAGAUUGGAGAUGGCGGAGAUAUUGCUUGUCUUUGAUAUUUCUUGCUGUUGUAAUGCUGAUUCUCACAGAGUCUGCGCUUUUCGUUUGUACUGGACAUUUCAGAGGACAAUAAGACACCACCUUUCGUCGGCCUUCUGAUCCUUUUAUACUCAUAUGAGAUUGAGAUGGUCGAGCUCUAUCCAGCCUUCUGUUUGAAUUUUUCUUUGCUCUUUUCUCGUUUUUCCUCUCCAGCUGUGCUUCUUCUGGCCUUGUCGAUGUCGGCAGUUUCUAGUGGCUUUAUACUUUGUUGAUUUCUCUUUUUUGACAACCUUGAGUGGAUGGCGGCAUGGCGGCGCUUGUUCUGGGUUAGAGCUUCUGGUGCCUUAUAGGUCUGAAUGUUAGCUUAUUAAAUUUUUCUUCGCCUGGGUUAGGCUUAUUUUUUUUAUGGGUGUUUGUUUAUUUUUUUCUUUUUUUCAGAGGCUUGUUUGUAAUUGUAUCCAGUGCCA